AAAUGAAUUGACGGGGGCCCGCACAAGCAGUGGAGUAUGUGGUUUAAUUCGAAGCAACGCGAAGAACCUUACCAGGGCUUGACAUCCCUCGAAAACUGUGGAAACACGGAGUUCCUACGGGACGAGGAGACAGGUGGUGCAUGGUUGUCGUCAGCUCGUGUCGUGAGAUGUUGGGUUAAGUCCCGCAACGAGCGCAACCCCUGUUGUUAGUUGCCAUCAGGUAAAGCUGGGCACUCUAACGAGACUGCCGGUGACAAAUCGGAGGAAGGUGGGGAUGACGUCAAAUCAUCAUGCCCCUUAGGUUCUGGGCUACACACGUACUACAAUGGCUGUUACAGAGGGGAGCUAAGCCGCAAGGCGGAGCAAAUCCCAAAAAACAGUCUCAGUUCGGAUUGUGGGCUGCAACCCGCCCGCAUGAAGUCGGAAUUGCUAGUAAUGGCAGGUCAGCAUACUGCCGUGAAUACGUUCCCGGGCCUUGUACACACCGCCCGU
rnacentral:rRNA from 1 species